rnacentral:rRNA from 1 species
GACGAACGCUGGCGGCGUGCUUAACACAUGCAAGUCGAACGGAAAGGCCCUGCUUUUGUGGGGUGCUCGAGUGGCGAACGGGUGAGUAACACGUGAGUAACCUGCCCCUGACUUUGGGAUAACUUCAGGAAACUGGGGCUAAUACCGGAUAGGAGCUCCUGCUGCAUGGUGGGGGUUGGAAAGUUUCGGCGGUUGGGGAUGGACUCGCGGCUUAUCAGCUUGUUGGUGGGGUAGUGGCUUACCAAGGCUUUGACGGGUAGCCGGCCUGAGAGGGUGACCGGGCACAUUGGGACUGAGAUACGGCCCAGACUCCUACGGGAGGUAGCAGUGGGGAGUAUUGCACAAUGGGCGGAAGCCUGAUGCAGCAACGCCGCGUGCGGGAUGACGGCCUUCGGGUUGUAAACCGCUUUCGCCGGUGACGAAGCGUGAGUGACGGUAAUGAGUAAAGAAGCACCGGCUAACUACGUG